AAGUCGUAACAAGGUUUCCGUAGGUGAACCUGCGGAAGGAUCAUUAAAAAACUAGUCGUUCGCGGGAGGGGAGACCUGACCGCGAUGUAAGCUAUCACUAGUAACCCUUGAAUAAACACCUUUGUUGCUUUGGCGGGCCGCCUUCUAGGCCAGCGGCUUCGGCUGCUGCGUGCCCGCCAGAGGACCUCAACUCUUGUUUUUAGUGAUGUCUGAGUACUAUAUAAUAGUUAAAACUUUCAACAACGGAUCUCUUGGUUCUG
rnacentral:misc_RNA from 1 species